GAAUCUUUGAACGCACCUUGCGCUCCUUGGUAUUCCGAGGAGCAUGCCUGUUUGAGUGU
rnacentral:rRNA from 1 species